GCCUGGGGUCCCGUGGCUGGUGUGUGAGCCAGCACAGACCAGGGCCCCCACCUUCCCUGAUGGACACUGCCUCCCAGCCUGCCCCCCAGCACUCGCUCUGCCCUUUUCAGCACUCACUGUACCCCAUGGCUCCUACUGAGCUCAGUCAGUCACCUGGGUUUGUCCUUUUUCUUCUUCAUCAAGGGCCCUUGACCCAGAUUUCCUUGACACAGCAGACCAAUGCAGACCUCAUACCCAGCCACCUAGUCUGCAUUAUCUUUCUGAUUUGUCCAUAAGGAUUUCAUGAGGUUUGUGGACAUCUCUUAUAAAUGAGAUCCAUGUAUUCCUUCAACAAACUAGGGCUACUGUCUAUCAGGGGAAGGGAGGACCAACGUCAGGUGAAAUAUUGUCCCUGCCCUCGAGGAGCUCAUAGCCUUGGGGAAGUGGGGCAGACCAUCUAAUUACUAUGGUGUGAUGGAACCAGAGGCACGGGCAUCUUAGAGGCAGCUAAGCCAGGGUGCUCAGGGAAGGCUGCCUGGAGGAGGUGGAACUUAAGCUAAAUUUUUUUUCCACUCCAGGUUUAUGCAUGUAUUUUCAACUAUCUUAUAUGUGUGGUUUUUGUAGAAAGAAAUUAAAAUGGUUUUUAAAACACGAGAAAGAAAUAUUUUAUACUAAGUAAAGAGGAAAGUUUCUGUGAUUUGUAUUUGCUGGAUUGGGGACAGAGAAAUUCACUCUUGUGCUGAGUGGCCCCUUCUCCAUGAUUGUUGGGACAAGCGAUGGUUAGCUGGGGACACAUGUGUCUCGACUCCCAGUCCUGCCACUGUAGCCUGUGAGCCUUGGGGUCUUCGGCUCAGCAUCCCGUCUUAAGCUAAGCUUUGGGAGAGGAGUGGAGAGGCAGUCUGAGAGAAGCGCUCGAGGAGGCACGGAGGGUGUUGGGGUUCACUCUGUGCACGUGGGGUCUCGUGAGCCACACUGGAGCUUCCAACCCAAACCAAACAAACAAGAAGACCGUGGCAAGGCUGUCUUCAAGAACAGACAAG
rnacentral:lncRNA from 1 species